UACGUAGGGGGCGAGCGUUGUCCGGAAUCAUUGGGCGUAAAGCGCGUGUAGGCGGCCCGUUAAGUCCGCUGUGAAAGUCCAGGGCUCAACCCUGGGAUGCCGGUGGAUACUGUCGGGCUCGAGUCCGGAAGAGGCGAGUGGAAUUCCUGGUGUAGCGGUGAAAUGCGCAGAUAUCAGGAGGAACACCAAUGGCGAAGGCAGCUCGCUGGGACGUAACUGACGCUGAGACGCGAAAGCGUGGGGAGCAAACAGG
rnacentral:rRNA from 1 species